UUCUGUGGCUUAGUUGAUUAAAGCGCCGAUGUAUCAAAUACGAAAUCGUGGGUUCGAAUCCCACCAGAA
rnacentral:tRNA from 1 species